UCAGAAGGACCAGGCCGAGGGCAAAUUGGGAAGCAGAGCUGUCCCUGAGGGGAGCCAUGCCAGACAUCCCUCUCACCCUCUUCAGGACAGGUGUCAUGUCAGCUGUCGUGUUGGUGCAAGACCUAGUAGUAACUCUGUGUGUCUGAGGGCAGAGGGAUCAGUCUCUUCCUCCAUGGAAGGAGAAAUAACCACUGACUACCACAUCACCUGGCACAGGAAGACCCAGGAUAACACAGUGACUUUCAGAUGCUGAGAAAGAGUAUGUAUGGCCCUGGUUUUCAGGAAAGACUCCAAAGUCAAAUUGAUGGUUCAAACAGCCAGUCUACUGAAGAUCCUUGAGGCAUCAGAAAGAGAUGAAGGAUCUUACUACUGUGCCAGUGACUGCAUCCUUCUGCAGGUCCACUUCGGAGCAGCUCAAAACCACAGAGAUCUAGAAACUCAGCUAUCCUAUAGGAUGAGGUUGGGAAAACUCCACCCUUCCUCCAGCAUGAACAGUUGCACUACUGGUCAUCUUGCCAACAUGAAGGA